UACGAAGGGGGCUAGCGUUGCUCGGAUUGACUGGGCGUAAAGGGCGCGUAGGCGGGAUGGCAAGUCGGUCGUGAAAUCCCUCGGCUCAACUGAGGUACGUCGAUCGAUACUGCCGUUCUUGAGGGUUGCAGAGGAGACUGGAAUUCCCGGUGUAGCGGUGAAAUGUGUAGAGAUCGGGAGGAACACCGGUGGCGAAGGCGGGUCUCUGGGCAACUCCUGACGCUGAGGCGCGAAAGCGUGGGGAGCAAACGGG
rnacentral:rRNA from 1 species